rnacentral:rRNA from 1 species
AUUGAACGCUGGCGGCAGGCUUAACACAUGCAAGUCGAACGAGUGGCGGACGGGUGAGUAAUGUCUGGGAAUCUCCCUUAUGGAGGGGGAUAACUACGGGAAACUGUAGCUAAUACCGCGUACCAUAGGAUGAGCCCAAGUGGGAUUAGGUAGUUGGUGGGGUAAAGGCUCACCAAGCCGACGAUCUCUAGCUGGUCUGAGAGGAUGACCAGCCACACGGGAACUGAGACACGGCCCAGACUCCUACGGGAGGCAGCAGUGGGGAAUAUUGCACAAUGGGGGCAAGCCUGACGCAGCCAUGCCGCGUGUAUGAAGAAGGCCUUCGGGUUGUAAAGUACUUUCGGUGGGGAGGCGUUAACCGCAGAAGAAGCACCGGCUAACUCCGUGCCAGCAGCCGCGGUAAUAC